UACGGAGGGGGCUAGCGUUGUUCGGAAUUACUGGGCGUAAAGCGCACGUAGGCGGCUUUGCAAGUCAGAGGUGAAAGCCCGGGGCUCAACCCCGGAAUUGCCUUUGAGACUGCAUCGCUAGAAUUGUGGAGAGGUAAGUGGAAUUCCGAGUGUAGAGGUGAAAUUCGUAGAUAUUCGCAAGAACACCAGUGGCGAAGGCGGCUCACUGGCCCGAUACUGACGCUGAGGCACGAAAGCGUGGGGAGCAAACAGGAUAGAUACCUGUAC
rnacentral:rRNA from 1 species